rnacentral:rRNA from 1 species
UACAGAGGUCUCAAGCGUUGUUCGGAUUCAUUGGGCGUAAAGGGUGCGUAGGCGGCGCGGUAAGUCGGGGUGUGAAAUCUUGGAGCUUAACUCCGAAACUGCAUUCGAUACUGCCGUGCUUGAGGACUGGAGAGGAGACUGGAAUUUACGGUGUAGCGGUGAAAUGCGUAGAUAUCGUAAGGAAGACCAGUGGCGAAGGCGGGUCUCUGGACAGUUCCUGACGCUGAGGCACGAAGGCCCAGGGGGAGCAAAACGGGG